rnacentral:lncRNA from 10 species
UCUGUACUAAGAUUGGACUAAACGGUCCAUUCUCAGAAGAGAUGAAAACCCUGGAGAUCAUCCUUUUCCUAUCAAACCAACUGAAGAAAGAAGGACUGUCUAGGACAUCAUGACACAUCCCUGAAACAGAAUCUCGUUCUGAU